CAGCAGCCGCGGUAAAACGAAGGGUGCAAGCGUUAAUCGGAAUUACUGGGCGUAAAGCGUGCGUAGGCGGUUUGUUAAGUCUGCUGUGAAAUCCCCGGGCUCAACCUGGGAAUGGCAGUGGAUACUGGCAAGCUAGAGUGUGUCAGAGGAUGGUGGAAUUCCCGGUGUAGCGGUGAAAUGCGUAGAGAUCGGGAGGAACAUCAGUGGCGAAGGCGGCCAUCUGGGACAACACUGACGCUGAGGCACGAAAGCGUGGGGAGCAAACAGGAUUAGAUACCCGGGUAGUCCCUGUCUCUUAUAC
rnacentral:rRNA from 1 species